AUUUACUAUCAAGAGGGAAAACCUUUGAAGGUGAUUCUAGCGUAUUUGGCUGCGAAUCACGUUGUUCGGAGCAUGAGCUGGCUGAAGCGAAAGGCUAGAGCUCUUGGUCUUCGAAGAAGAAACGGUAGCUGGGAUCUGCUAGUACUGCCUGACAUCUUGCAAGCAAUGCAGAUAGAAAUUGAGCGGUGUGGGAGAGGUGCUGGUUAUCGGUCUCUCUGGAAGAGAUUAAAGGAUCGUCAUGGGCUAGCAGUACGACGGUUAGUAAACUUAUUAGUUGUAUGAUUAGUUACACUAAAGUUUGCAUUUGUAUCUCAUUGAGCUGAAUAAAUUGCACCUCGACAUUUCAGU